AGUCUACAAAACCCCACAUCCCCUGAGAAUUCUCUCGCCUGCCUUAGGCACUUAGGCUCCGGGAGAUUGCAAAUAACCUGCUUUCUUUCUGUUCCCGGGCUGCGUUCGGACUCCUGUCAGAUAGUAAAUCCUAAGCUCCGGUAGACUGCAAAUGACCUGCUUUCUUUCUGUUCCCGGGCUGCGUUUGGACCCCUGUCGGACAGUAAAUCCCAAGUAAGGUACCUGCCCUCGGCAGAUUUGAGCUUUCUUCUUGGACACCUAAUACCCACAGUCCUCCAGGAAUGGAACAGAUAAGAAGAUACUGAAAUUGGACGGUGCUGCCGUGCGGCUGCCGCAGGACACCUUUAAUAUCCCUGUUUCUCAGGCUGUAGAUGAAGGGGUUCAGCAUGGAGGUGAUCACCGUGUACAUCACUGAGGCCACUGCAGCCUUUCUCGGGGAAGAUGACACAUCUGAACUGAGGUACCCUCCAAAGCCUGUUCCGUAAAAUCAGCAAACAACUGACAGGAUAACUUCAGGAAGUGGGUAUUAAUUCUCACGGUAUAAGUGAAGACAUUAAGCACCAGAGUUUAAGUAGCUUGAUCCACUGAAAGAGAUUCAACUGUGUGGAACCUAUGCCGUGGAGAAUUGCUUUCUGCCAUUGUUAUCGUCCAGCAGUUGCCGAAUAGCUCUGACCUGAGCAAAGCAGUGAAACGCGGUGCUGUUGAGUGGGUUGCCACUGCACCUUUUUCAACUACUCUAGUCUUGUGGAGAAAAUACCCCUUCUAAAUUUUUUCUUCAUUGAAUACUCUCCCUCAGCUCCAGAGUACCAUAUAGAGUUUUCUUGUAUUUUAGAGUUACUGUUUUAUCAAAGUUUACCAGUCUUUUGUAUUACAUUUCUCCUGUCUAAAUCGACUGUGUGGUUUCUACUCAUUAUGGAUAUAGAUUGAUACAAACUCAAUAAAUAUUUUUGAAUGAAUAA
rnacentral:lncRNA from 1 species